GAUGAACGCUGGCGGCGUGCCUAAUACAUGCAAGUCGAGCGAACAGACGAGGAGCUUGCUCCUUUGACGUUAGCGGCGGACGGGUGAGUAACACGUGGGUAACCUACCUAUAAGACUGGGAUAACUUCGGGAAACCGGAGCUAAUACCGGAUAAUAUUUCGAACCGCAUGGUUCGAUAGUGAAAGAUGGCUCUGCUAUCACUUAUAGAUGGACCUGCGCCGUAUUAGCUAGUUGGUAAGGUAACGGCUUACCAAGGCAACGAUACGUAGCCGACCUGAGAGGGUGAUCGGCCACACUGGAACUGAGACACGGUCCAGACUCCUACGGGAGGCAGCAGUAGGGAAUCUUCCGCAAUGGGCGAAAGCCUGACGGAGCAACGCCGCGUGAGUGAUGAAGGUCUUCGGAUCGUAAAACUCUGUUAUUAGGGAAGAACAAACGUGUAAGUAACUGUGCACGUCUUGACGGUACCUAAUCAGAAAGCCACGGCUAACCACGUG
rnacentral:rRNA from 1 species